rnacentral:rRNA from 1 species
UACGUAGGGUGCAAGCGUUGUCCGGAAUUAUUGGGCGUAAAGAGCUUGUAGGCGGUUUGUCGCGUCUGCUGUGAAAUUUCGGGGCUCAACCCCGAACUUGCAGUGGGUACGGGCAGACUAGAGUGUGGUAGGGGAGACUGGAAUUCCUGGUGUAGCGGUGAAAUGCGCAGAUAACAGGAGGAACACCGAUGGCGAAGGCAGGUCUCUGGGCCACUACUGACGCUGAGAAGCGAAAGCAUGGGGAGCGAACAGG